rnacentral:rRNA from 1 species
UGCCGGCGACCGGCGCACGGGUGAGUAACACGUAUGCAACCUGCCCUCCGCAGGGGGAUAACCCGGAGAAAUCCGGACUAAUACCGCGUGGUACAUCUGUGGGGCAUCCCACGGGUGUUAAAAGGAAGCGAUUCCGGCGGAGGAUGGGCAUGCGGCGCAUUAGCUUGUUGGCGGGGUAACGGCCCACCAAGGCGACGAUGCGUAGGGGUUCUGAGAGGAAGGUCCCCCACACUGGUACUGAGACACGGACCAGACUCCUACGGGAGGCAGCAGUGAGGAAUAUUGGUCAAUGGGCGGGAGCCUGAACCAGCCAAGUCGCGUGAGGGAAGACGGUCCUAUGGAUUGUAAACCUCUUUAGGCGGGGAGCAAUGCCGGGCACGCGUGCCCGGAGGGAGAGUACCCGCAGAAUAAGCAUCGGCUAACUCCGUGCCAGCAGCCGCGGUAAUACGGAGGAUGCGAGCGUUAUCCGGAUUUAUUGGGUUUAAAGGGUGCGUAGGCGGAUUUUUAAGUCAGCGGUAAAAUGUCCGGGCUCAACCCGGGCCGGCCGUUGAAACUGGGGAUCUUGAGUGGGCGAGAAGUAUGCGGAAUGCGUGGUGUAGCGGUGAAAUGCAUAGAUAUCACGCAGAACUCCGAUUGCGAAGGCAGCAUACCGGCGCCCGACUGACGCUGAGGCACGAAAGCGUGGGGAUCGAACAGGAUUAGAUACCCUGGUAGUCCACGCAGUA